UUAAAAUAAAUAACAGAAAAAAACGCUAAAAGGAAUGAAGAAUCAUUCGUCAAAUAGUUUGGAAUAAUUCUUGUAAUACUUAUUUGUCUUUACAACAAAACCAUAGUUUUCGUUGCAGCCUUAUUUGAAAAAGAAAAUAUUGGGGACAUAUCUACUUCCAUGUUUAACAUAUUGCUACAGUGUUCCUGAUAUUCAGGUACCAUGAUGGUUCUUGGUAUCAAUCGAAAAUUCACCAUGGAUGAUACUUUGGAGUUUUUGAAUUAAGGUUAGCUUGUUGGAUUCUCAUAAUAUGGAACGACAAAUUUCUCUGGAAGCAUUUUGUGGUCUGCUGUCCAAAACAACCCAUUCUGACAAUGAAAAUAUCAAAUCACCCCAGAUUAUCACGGCUUCUAAUGGCUUGUAGAGAAAGUUACAUCGCAGAUAUUAUUACGAUGAUGCCCACCAUCUGCCGCAUGGUAAUGUGGUAAGCAAUAUCGUCUAACAAACAGCGUUCAAGAACGAUUUUCUUACAAAAACUACCUGCAGCCGUACGAACACAACGAAAGUAGUUUUCAUCAAUCUAUAUUUCUGCAUAUAAUUAGGAUUAACAAAUGAAAUUGAAAAUUAUAUUGCUUGUUAACAUAACUCCCCCGGAAAUGCAUAAUCGAUUAGUUCCAA